rnacentral:rRNA from 1 species
AUGAUGCUCAAGGAUUUCGCGGCAAUUCAGCAGCAGCAGCAGCUGGCCCUCGCCGCCGACGAGAACAUGUCGAAUCUCACCUCCGCCUCCGGCGACCAGACCAGCGUCUCCUCCCACCCCCUCCCGCCUCCUUCCAAGAAGAAGCGCAGCCUCCCGGGAAAUCCAGACCCCGACGCGGAGGUGAUCGCGCUGUCGCCGCGGGCGCUGAUGGCGACGAACCGGUACGUGUGCGAGAUCUGCGGCAAGGGGUUCCAGCGGGACCAGAACCUGCAGCUGCACCGGCGCGGCCACAACCUCCCCUGGAAGCUCAAGCAGCGGAACCCCAACGAGGUGGUGCGCAAGAAGGUGUACGUGUGCCCGGAGCCCGGGUGCGUCCACCACGACCGCUCCCGCGCGCUCGGCGACCUCACCGGCAUCAAGAAGCACUUCAGCCGCAAGCACGGCGAGAAGAAGUGGAAGUGCGACAAGUGCGCCAAGCGCUACGCCGUGCAGUCCGACUGGAAGGCCCACUCCAAGGUCUGCGGCACCCGCGAGUACCGAUGCGACUGCGGCACGCUCUUCUCAAGGCGGGACAGCUUCAUCACGCACAGGGCCUUCUGCGACGCGCUGGCGGAGGAGAGUGCGAGGGCCGUGGCUGUGGCCGUGGAGGAGCAGCAGCAUCCGGGGAUGCUCUACUCGCACGGCGGAGGCGGCGGCGCUGGGUUCCAGAUGCCGGCCGUGAUGGACCCGUCGAGCUCGCUCGGUGGCGGCCACGGGCUGAUCCAAGAACUGUGCCUCAAGAGGGAGCGGGAGCAGCAACAGCAGCAGCAGCAGUUCGCGCAGCCGUGGCUAUCGGAGCAGCAGCAGCUGGAGAUGGGCGGCGAGGGCGCCCAGGCCAUGUUCGGGACGGCCAGGAUGGAGCAGGAGUUCAACGCGAGCUCCACGCCGGAGAGCAGCACGCAGCCUGUGGGCAUGAGCUUCGCGUCAUUUCCCUCGUCGUCGGCCGGGGCGACGGCCUCGUCUCACAUGUCGGCCACCGCGCUGCUCCAGAAGGCGGCACAGAUGGGUGCAACGCUGAGCCGGCCGUCGGGCCAAGGCCAGAUGGCGGCGAGCACCUUCAGCAGCAGCGUCGCCAUCACCAACGUCACCAACAAUGCACCUGCUGCCGCUACUAGUAGCAGCGCGGCGACAAGCACCGCCGUCGGCGUGGGAUUCGGGCACGCGUUCGAGUCGCCGGCUCAGUUCGGAGUGGACCAGAGACCCAGUGCCAAUCGUACCGCCGGCAAUGCCGGCGCCAGCGGCGGAGGUAUAGGCAAUGCCGGGGGCGCAAACGACGGCCUCACGAGGGACUUCCUGGGUCUGCGGGCCUUCUCCCACGGCGACAUACUCAGCAUGGCAGGCUUCGAUCCCUGCAUGCCCACGUCGGCCUCGGCGAGGGCGGCGUACGACCAGCAAGGGCCACAGAGCAGCAACCCAUGGCAUGGCUAG